GGCGAACGCUGGCGGCAGGCCUAACACAUGCAAGUCGAACGAACUCUUCGGAGUUAGUGGCGGACGGGUGAGUAACACGUGGGGACGUGCCUUUAGGUUCGGAAUAACUCAGGGAAACUUGUGCUAAUACCGAAUGUGCCCUUCGGGGGAAAGAUUUAUCGCCUUUAGAGCGGCCCGCGUCUGAUUAGCUAGUUGGUGAGGUAAAGGCUCACCAAGGCGACGAUCAGUAGCUGGUCUGAGAGGAUGAUCAGCCACAUUGGGACUGAGACACGGCCCAAACUCCUACGGGAGGCAGCAGUGGGGAAUCUUGCGCAAUGGGCGAAAGCCUGACGCAGCCAUGCCGCGUGAAUGAUGAAGGUCUUAGGAUUGUAAAAUUCUUUCACCGGGGACGAUAAUGACGGUACCCGGAGAAGAAGCCCCGGCUAACUUCGUG
rnacentral:rRNA from 1 species